rnacentral:rRNA from 1 species
UAGGGAAUCUUCCACAAUGGACGAAAGUCUGAUGGAGCAACGCCGCGUGAGUGAAGAAGGGUUUCGGCUCGUAAAACUCUGUUGUUAAAGAAGAACAUAUCUGAGAGUAACUGUUUAGGUAUUGACGGUAUUUAACCAGAAAGCCACGGCUAACUACGUGCCGG